CUUUUGACGGAGAGCCAGAGGAAAGCGAUCGGAGAGAAUCCCCGCCGGUGAAAGGCGGAGUUGAAUGAAAGUGUGGAUUUCGAGUGUGGUUUUAAGGCUGGCUAGGGUUUGAUGUUUGGAAGGAGAAAACAUCUUUUCAAUUAUUGAUGGGGGACCAUGAGCUGCAUAUCGUGAUUAAUGGGCCUGGCGACGAUUGAUUGAGGGCUGAGGUAUCAGGCUAGCAGCAUUGACCGAGUGGUCGGUGAUAAGGGGUUUCAGUCCUUCGGGGACAGAGGCCAUUCAUGGCUAGGUCAAGGCGGGAUUAAAUGUUGAAUCAGAUGACGACGUUUUGUGAGAUGCAUUCAUGAUGAUGAUGGCUGCUUAAGAACGACUAAAUCAACAGCCCCGAUGGGUUUAUAGAUUGGUACCAUCCCUGUUCAUUUUUGUAUAAACCACAUGGAGAAUGUAAGAUGGGCUCCUCUUCCAAGUUUCCUCCGUGAUUGUUGGUAACUAUGUUGAUGGAGUGGUUUAUUUUGGUUGUGCCCAAGGAACAGCUAUUGGUGUUGUGCCACAUGCGAGGUUGGCUGUUUACAAAGUGGCCUGGAAUGAUCAAGAACUUACACAUGUGAUGUGAUUACUGAUAUAGAACAAGCCAUCAUUGAUGGUGCUGAUGUGAUAAACCUUUCCAUAGGUAAUCUAGGGGCAGGAAAACCAUCGUAUGAAGAUCUAGUGGCAGCUGCUGCAUUUGUAGCCAUGGAAAAAGGCAUAGUGGUCGUAGCUGCUACGGGAAGUUACGGACCGUCGUUGGAAACUCUAAACAAGAAGUUCCCCUGGGUAUUAACUGCCACCACAACCACAUAGUGGUCGGAGUCAGAGCCCAGCCCUUAUUGGUUGUAGCUGCAGCAGGAAACAACGAUGGGCCAUCUCCGAAUACUGUAGGGAAUGACCUUCCCAUGGAUCUCAACUAUCACGGCGAGCACCAUUGAUAGAUGGUUUGCUGGAGUUGUGAGACCAGGAAAUGCAGAAACCAUUUUGGAGUUAUGAAUCUUCUACAUCUCUGUUUCUUGGAACAAAAGUUCAGGUUUUUUGUUUCCUUUUCUUUUUUCUUUUUGUCUGAUCAAUGGUAAAUAUCUUUGAUAUGGAUCUUUUCCAUUUAACAGAAACUAAAACCUCUGAUUUGGAAUUAGUUUCCUGGCAUUCCUCCCUAGUCAAUCAGAAGGUGCAAAUUGUGGGAUGCCUUUAGAAAAUUGAGGGCCCAAUGCAGACUGAAUAAUGAAGCAUCAAUUUGAGCAA